ensembl:snoRNA
UGGAUCGAUGAUGACUGCUGGUGGCGUAUGAGUCAUAUACAAUGAAUAUGUGUCUGGAACUCUGAGGUCCGU